rnacentral:rRNA from 1 species
UACGUAGGGUGCAAGCGUUGUCCGGGAUUAUUGGGCGUAAAGAGCUCGUAGGCGGUCUGUUGCGUCGGCUGUGAAAACCCGGGGCUCAACUCCGGGCCUGCAGCCGAUACGGGCAGACUAGAGUUCGGCAGGGGAGACUGGAAUUCCUGGUGUAGCGGUGAAAUGCGCAGAUAUCAGGAGGAACACCGGUGGCGAAGGCGGGACUCUGGGCCGAUACUGACGCUGAGGCGCGAAAGCUAGGGGAGCGAACGGG